rnacentral:tRNA from 1 species
UCCCUCAUAGCUCAGUCGGUAAAGAACCUGCCUGAAAUGCAGGAGACCUGGGUUUGAUUCCUGGGUUGGGAA